rnacentral:tRNA from 1 species
GGGGCUGUGGCUUAGUGGUAGAGCGCUUGCCUAGCAUGUAUGAGGCACUGGGUUUGAUCCUCAGCACCACA